AAAGAAGGUGUUGAAUUGAUAGAGUUGUGGGCUUUCUGGUGGGUAACUGUCUCCAUAUUUUUGGUCAAGUAAUUAGGGCCCCAUAGUCAGCUUUGCAUGAAGUGUAGUAAGCAUUGUCUUGACCCUUGGCACUGGACUUGCACCAUUUUUAAAUUUGGCUAGAUACUGUGUCUUCUUUAAUAUUAUGCUGGGGUACAUGUAUUUCGUGAUAACAUGAUACAGUUUGUAUUUUGUCAAAUUAUAAGACAAACACACUUAUAUAGGUAUUCCAUUGGCCUAGAUAGAAGACAAGACAUAAAUAUCAUAUUUGAGUUGAUUUUAUUGUCUUUGAGGUUCAGUAUAAACUAAGUCUGUUCCAUGUUUUCAACAGCAUCACAAUUUAUAAAGUCGAUGUUUAUACAACUGUUCCAUUGUCAGUAUUUCACUUUUAAUCAUCCAGACAUGUAUAUUUAACUAGCUAGUUGAUUACUAGGUAAAUGCCAAUCAUCUUUUAUUGUUGUAUAUACAGUCUAUAAUCCUUAACACCUUCAUUGAUUACUUGAGGUGUCAUACCACCAAUUACUCCCUCAAAUUUAGAACGUAUGUGAAAGUAGGCCUACUCGGACAAAAAAUAGUGCAUUUGAUGUCAUUGUUCACCUAAACUAACCAACAAAUUUGCAGAAAUGAAACUUUUGUUGAAAGAGAAAUAUAUUAAGACCAUUUUGAGCCAAAUUUUACCUGUCUAGGAGUUUGCAUUUAAAAUUGAGGAUUAAUGCGCUCCAUGGUAUACUAAUUUAAGAUUUCCAGAAAACCAGGGGUUAUUUUUAGUGGUACCUCCUUUCGGGAGCUCUCUUCUUUCUUAUAUGAUUUUGAAUGUAUGUUGAAAAUUGGCAUGCAGAAAGGUGACACCUGUACAAUUCAGGAUAUACCUAGUUUUUAUAAAGUUAAACUUAAGGUAAAAUAUUUAGAAAGCUGUGAAAAUUGCAAAAUUUGGUUGAACAGAUAGGGACUUUUAAUUGGUGGUAUGACACCUUUAAGCGAAAUGCGGUGAAACAUCAAAUUCAGAAAACAAUUGAUUUUUUUGGCCUUAACUGAUCAUUUGAAGUAAUAGUAGCCACAUUUCAAUCUUUUUGGGGGCAAAAUGUUACAUAUUGCAAAUUUAGAGCCUAAAACUUGAGUUUGUGCUAUUUUUAGCUUUUCUC
rnacentral:lncRNA from 1 species